AUGGGCUCAGCCAGCAGCUGGGUGGCCCGAGUCCUCUCCCUCCUGAGCCCUGCCCGCGCUCCGGGUGACGUGGGGACCCCACCAAGCUGCUCCGGGCUGGCCUCAGUUUCUCAGUGUGGAGCCCCCGGCCUCACCGGCCACCUUAUGGGGUGGGUGAGUGAGCAGAAGGGCCCGGGGCCUCUAAGGUCGCAUGUCGCCAGCCACGCCUCUGUGGGGUGCCACAGGAGGGCAGUGGGUGCUCAGGACCAGAAAGACACAGAGCGCGGGCCCAGGCCCGGUGCCACAAACAGCCCCUUCCCCAGGGACUCGCUGCCUCCUCCUCUCCUCCUCCUCGUCGUCGCUGACUGGGGCACAUCACCAGGUUGCUGGGCUCAGCGGGGCGCCAGCCUGCAGCUCCCGGGGCUCACCAAGGCAGCCAGGAGGCUUGCUGGCUCUCUGGGGACCACGCACCUCCAGAACUGUCCCCAGGAACCAUGCCCCUCAUGCCCUAACAAGCCACCUGCCAAGGCCGCCAAACCACCAGGCUCUGCCUCCCCAGGGGUCCCCGUUCACAAACCAGAGCGGCUCCUGCCCAGGUCCCUUGGGAAAACAGGGCUGCGGGGAGCCCAGGGCUCCGCGGGUCACCGCCAGGACGCAGGUGGAAGAUCUGCCCUGUGCCGCACCGGCUCUGUGGCACUGGGCACAAGGACGCAUCACGCGCAGCUGCGGCCGUCCACGAGCCAGGACCAGGAGCAGGGGGAGCCCAGGGCAGCCCCGUGGCUCUCGGUCCAGUGCUGGUUCACCCCUGCCCCUCCCGGAGGAAGCCCCAGGUUUCCCGCAGCAGAAGAGGAAGCUGGAGCCCGCAGACCUCAGGGGCUGUCCCAAGGUCAGCCAGGGGCUCCUGUGGCCCGGGCCCCAGUCCCGUGCCCCGGCCCUGUGAAUCACCUGCCGCCUGAGAAGCUGAACAACUCUGGGAAUAACAGGGGAAGCUGGAGAAAAGUUGGCGCAGUCGCCGUGUGCCAGCACUAA
rnacentral:lncRNA from 1 species